UUGUUUGUUACUUUUUUUUCUUUUAAAUAUUGAAAAAGUCGAGUACACCAAAGCCCCAAAAACGGCUCUGCUAUACGCUGCACAGCAUCGGUUUCUGUUUAAAGUCCCUGUAGUGGUUGUUCUUUAUGUACAGAAGUGAGAAAAUGCAUCCUCCACAACCCUUCUGCACCUUUACGACUCCUUUCUGCUGUUUGUUUUCGUUACAGGAAAAAUAAGAAAGAAAAAAAACCAAACUGGAUUCCAAAGGAUGCAACCUACGUGUGCAAAGAAAGAAGGCAUGCUUGUGGGAGAGGAGAAACAUGGAUCCCCACCUGCUCUGACCCUCCCUCUGUCAAUAGACAUCCCUGAAACCCAGCUUAGGAUCUUAUCUGGAGACCAAAGCCUCCAUGUGAGGGACAUCUGGGGUUUCAUUUAACACUCUGUUUGCAUUCCCUGUUGCAUAAACCUUUAUCAGAUACAGACAUUUAUACUCAUAGAAGCUUUUGGGGAGCUGCAGGCCAUUAAAUGCUAUAGAAACAAAGAAUUAUUUCAGUUGGAAGAGAUCUCCAAGAGCAUCAAGUCCAACCUUCUAUUAUAAGCCAGAGAGGUUUAAUCAAGGAAGGGCUUUAUGUUCAAAGUGCUUCAUGGUAACAGGAAAUUCUUCUCCUUGACAUUCCAUAUGGUGAUUUUUGGUGGGGUUUUAGUCAGAGCAGUGGGGUCCCAGAACAUGAGUGGUCUCACUUUUCAG